AGGCAGCAGUAGGGAAUNUUCCNCAAUGGACGAAANUCUGANGNGNGNCGCNGNGUGAGUGAAGAAGGGUUUCGGCUCGUAAAACUCUGNUGUUAAAGAAGAACAUAUCUGAGAGUAACUGUUCAGGUAUUGACGGUAUUUAACYWKWWWGCCWMKGCUAACUACSUSCCAGCMGCCGCGGUAAWACGUAGGUGGCMAGCGUUGUCCGGAUUUAUUGGGCGUAAAGCGAGCGCAGGCGGUUUUUUAAGUCUGAUGUGAAAGCCUUCGGCUCAACCGAAGAAGUGCAUCGGAAACUGGGAAACUUGAGUGCAGAAGAGGACAGUGGAACUCCAUGUGUAGCGGUGAAAUGCGUAGAUAUAUGGAAGAACACCAGUGGCGAAGGCGGCUGUCUGKUCUGUAACUGACGCUGAGGCUCGAAAGUAUGGGYARCMAACAGGAUUAGAUACCCUGGUAGUCCAUACCGUNNNCGAUGAAUGCUAAGUGUUGGAGGGUUUCCGCCCUUCAGUGCUGCAGCUAACGCAUUAAGCAUUCCGCCUGGGGAGUACGGCCGCAAGGCUGAAACUCAAAGGAAUUGACGGGGGCCCGCACAAGCGGUGGAGCAUGUGGUUUAAUUCGAAGCUACGCGAAGAACCUUACCAGGUCUUGACAUACUAUGCAAAUCUAAGAGAUUAGACGUUCCCUUCGGGGACAUGGAUACAGGUGGUGCAUGGUUGUCGUCAGCUCGUGUCGUGAGAUGUUGGGUUAAGUCCCGCAACGAGCGCAACCCUUAUUAUCAGUUGCCAGCAUUAAGUUCUCUGGNNNGACUGCCGGNGACAAACNGGANUNG
rnacentral:rRNA from 1 species